rnacentral:ncRNA from 13 species
AUGUAGUUUGAAAGGAGAGCAAGUUAGCACUCCCCUAGACAAGGAUGGAAUCACAUAAAUGACUGGAAAAGGCACUAAAAAAAUUAAAACGUAAACAUUUGUUUCUUCUUCUCGAAGUGCUUUAU